CUCUGUCUCUCUCUCUCUCAAAAAUACAAGUAAACAUUUAAAAACAUUUAAAAACUAAAACCAUCCUCGCUUGCACUCUAGUGACAAGGAAUGUUGCUUCAAUUUACUUAACGCUUGGAGCUCAGCCACCAGUUGCUUCAAACUUUAAGUAGCUGCAAGUUAUAAAAACCGUCUGCUCAAGUACAAAGUCAGCACCCAGACAAAACCAUCUUCAGAGAUGAAACCAACCAACCAAAGACAAAAGGAUAUGGCCUAAAAUCAAAAAGUGCUGGAGCACAUGCUUAUGCUGACUCCUAAGGAAUUCAGUGAUUUAUCGGAUGAAUCUUCACUCACCCAACGGCAUCGGAAUCCAGAGGCAACCUGACGGAAGGGCCAGGUGGGCAAGAAAGAGCACUGGUUAGGAGUCAGGAGUACAUUGGAGACCCUGUAUUGCGUCUAGCCACGCACAACCUUGGGUCCGUCGGAAGGAUUUGCGAGGGGACCCCGAGGAAGCUGCCCCUUGAAUUCAGAGACCCAGAUGAUGACUGGAGCGGUCCACUGCAGCUCCCUGACCAUCAGCCUUCCUCUGCCACUCUCGCUGCUGUCUGUCCGCGGCCUGCCUCCAGCCUGGCAGCACAGCCAUGAGCUUUCCAAUGGUACAACGAAGCAUUGAUACGGUUUUCCGGACGAUCGGGAAAAGGGUAAGUUAUUGUAUUGCCCCCAAACCCAGUGAGCCACACGACCACCUGUGAAGCCUCAUGCAGAUUAUUGGAGACCACGUCAAGGCUCUUGAGUUUCAGUCUUCUGUGGAGGGGCCUGGAAAUCUGCAUUUUAAAUAAAUGCUCUCAGAGAAGCUGAUGAUUGAGACUGGGAAACAAGGACUUAAGACAUUUAACAUUUCUAGAGAAAUUUGUGGACAAAUCAAAUACUUGAAGUUACAUCCCCGAGGGAUUUUAAUGUGUCUAUUAGUUCUACCACCUUUUUUUCUACAACCUACGUAAGGUAACUUUGAGAGGUGCGUAGAACACAGUGAUUUUUUUUUAACUGAAAUAAGAGAAAUGAAACAGAUUAGAUUUAAAAAGAAG